rnacentral:misc_RNA from 1 species
GAUGAAGAACGUAGCGAAAUGCGAUAAGUAAUGUGAAUUGCAGAAUUCAGUGAAUCAUCGAAUCUUUGAACGCACAUUGCGCCCGUCAGUAUUCUGGCGGGCAUGCCUGUUCGAGCGUCAUUACGCCCCUCAAGUCCCCUGUGGACUUGGUGUUGGGGAUCGGCGAGGCUGGUUUUCCAGCACAGCCGUCCCUUAAAUUAAUUGGCGGUCUCGCCGUGGCCCUCCUCUGCGCAGUAGUAAAACACUCGCAACAGGAGCCCGGCGCGGUCCACUGCCGUAAAACCCCCCAACUUUUUAUAGUUGACCUCGAAUCAGGUAGGACUACCAGCUGAACUUAAGCAUAUCAAUAAGCGGAGGA